CUCCCGAGUAGCUGGGACUACAGGCGCCCGCCAUCACGCCCGGCUGCUUUUUUUGUUUUAGUAGAGAGGAGGUUUCACCGUGUUAGCCAGGAUGGUCUCAAUCUCCUGACCUCGUGAUCCGCCCGCCUCGGCCUCUCAAAGUGCUGGGAUUACACGCGUGAGCCACCGCGCCUGGCCUGAAGAAAGAAGUCAUUAAAGAAGCAACCCAUGGCAAAACUAGUUAUUUUCUUAAAACAGUAGGAAGAAGAAAAGCUUUUUGAAUGAAUCACUUCUCAUCUUCUCCGAAGUUGGAAGCAUCAAGAAUCUAAAUAAGCAUUUAUGAUGGCUGGCAUGAAUAUACAGGUGAAGACAGAACAAGAAAACAAACCAAGAAUUUCCCCUCACCAGCCACCAGCUCUGCCAGCAACUUGAUCUUAGACUUCCCAGCCUCCGUAACGCCUCUGCUUAUAAUCUGUCAUGGAUUGGAAAACUAGAAAAAACAGUUUACAGAGUAUAACAAACUUUGGAGGAGUUAAUCGACUCUAAGUAAAAGAGUAUCUAGCACGGCUGUGGAACAAAGGAGAGACUCACAAACUGUUGAAAGAAUAAAUGAAUGAAUGAAUUCUGUUCAUGAGCUUUAAUAAAACAGCUCUGAGUAGUAACAGUGGAUCAAAUUUAGGCUUCUUGAUGCAGGCAUGGUGUAGAUUACUACUUCUGUAUUGUCCCAGGAGCUCAGCACAUUCCUGCAGAGAUGAUAGGAGCUCAUCUGAUACUUGUCAGCUUUGAAUAAACUCCAGUCCCCAAGAGAGAGAAUGAGAAUCACCGGAAUACGAAACUUCCCUGUUGGACUUCCCAACAUUCUUGAAUGCACCAAGAUAGCCUCUUGCUGUGAGAUUAAUAAAUGAAUAAAUGCCUCCAUAUUUUUCAAAUCUGUGAAGUUAACAACAUGUAGAUUUUUUUGCAUAUUUAAAAACUGCAACUAAAUCUUAAUGCCUCUGAAGCAGAUGGAAGAAAAUAAUAGGCUUCCAUUAACUGUGUCAAAUUGUAUAGGUCUUGGCCAUCACUGGUCCUGUUGUGAUGAAGGUUUUUUGCCCUUGGAUAUAAUUUAAUUUUCAAUUCUUCUAAUUAUGGUACUUCAGAACAUCAAUAUUUGAGAUGAACUUCUCUAGUGUCAAGGACUGAUUUGAGUUGUGUAAACCCUGAAUAUCUGAGACAGGUCUCGAUUAUUUUAGAAAGUUUAUUUUGCCAAGGUUGAGGAUGUGUGCCUGUGACACGGCCUCGGGAGGUCCUGAGGACAUGUGCUCAAGGUGGUCAGAGCACAGCUUUGCUUUAUACAUUUUAGAGAGACAUGAGACAUCAACCGACAUAUGUAAGAUGAACAUUGGUUCCAUCUGGAAAGGCGAGACAACUUCAAACGAGGAGGGGGCUUCCAGGUCAUAGGUAGAUAAGAGACAAAUGGCUGCAUUCUUUUGAGUUUCUGAUUAGCCUUUCCAAAGGAGGCAAUUAGAGUGAGCAAAAUGAACAAAAUCAAUUAUUUUGAUUCUGAACAAAAUGGGAGGCUGGUUUUCCCUAAGCAGUUCCCAGCUUGACUUUUCCCUUUAGCUGAGGGAUUUGGGGGGCCCAAGAUUUAUUUUUCUUUCACCGUUGUAUCAAACUACACAGGCGGCCUUGGAAACCAUCACAGUUGAGAGUAGGUAACGCCCAUUUGUUGCAUAGUUUUGUGCUCCACACUCUUAUCUACAAAAUUAUGAAUUUUUUUACAUAUAUUAAUUUCAGAAAAACUAAAAAUAAAACAAAGUAGUUUCAAACUAGUAUUGUUUUUAUAUCUUAAAAAUAAAGCUUUAUAUACUCUCCUUA
rnacentral:lncRNA from 1 species